GCAGUCGUGGUCGAGAGGUUAAGGUGAUGGACUAGAAAUCCAUUGGGAUCUCCCCGCACAGGUUCGAAUCCUGUCGACUGCG
rnacentral:tRNA from 2 species